rnacentral:lncRNA from 1 species
ACAGCUUUGGACAAAAGUCUAUAGCCAGAGCAUUCGUAAUUCCCCAUGCACAAGGGCUGACUGUGUCUGUGGGAAGACAUUUUAUUCAGUUGCUUUCUUAUUUCUUAGAGUUUUCUAGUCCUUUGCUCUCAGAUGUUUGCUACCUUUUAGAAUUUCACCUGUCUGGGUCACUGUACUUGAGAAAAUUCUGCAGCCUGUCAGAUGGUGUAGGUCUCAUAAAGACAGCUCU